rnacentral:lncRNA from 1 species
GCCAAGGCUUCAUAGUUCUCACCCACGGCAAUUCAGCUAGCAAACUAGAGACACUUCCCCAAGAAGACACAGCGUGGCAAGACUGCUGAGACGCAUAAAGAAAUCUUAGCUGGAAUGCCUUCUCAGAAUCUUGAUUUUCAAAGUGAUGGAUUGGGAGAUCCCAAGCCAUGAAUAAAGGGUGCUCAUCACAGAUGGAACAAUGGCGAGAGCACACCUGGACAGGGGAGGGGCAGGAGUUCUGAUUCCUGACACAGGUUUCCUGGUUGAAUGUUCUGUUGUAGAAGAAUGCAACUGAGUUUUCUAAACAGAUCUUCUUCUUGACAUCCUUGCUGAACGAGAGCAAAGGAGACAGCUGGGAGCAGAUGGGCAAAUCCCAGUUUGCCCAAAGAAAUGUCUAUUUUCCAAGGGGCAUGAAGAAUUUAGGAAUAAAGCAGAUCUGAUUUCUAAUUCUGACUUUGCUACUGGCAAAUUGUGUGGACUCAGGAAAGUGACCGGCCCUCUUUAAGACUCAGUGUGCUUACCUCUGAAAUGGAGCUGUCAAUCACAUCUGCCUCACAGGCUUGUUCUGAGGAUGAAGUGAGAAAAUGCCCACGAGGUGCUGGUUGCAGCAGCUGGUGCAUAGAGCUUAAAAAGGAUGCAGUCCCAAAACAUAGAAGGAUUUACUCCAGAUCCAAGCAAUGAGUCAGGAACAGAAAGCCUGAUGCCCUCACCUGGAACUCUCCCUCCUCCCUGGAUGAGGACCUUCCCCAGAAUUGCAGGGCACCCACACAAGACCAAGCAAGUUCAGAGAAAAUUGAAACCUGACUUUAGAGCCUCUGGGAUGUUCACUACACCUCAUUGAACCUGUUUGGUUCACAGUAGAGCUCCAACUACCGUCUACUUCCUGCAACUGGCCUGCUGCCAACUCCCCAGAUCUCUUGUGGAGCUGCCGGAAGAGACAGCCUGCCACAGAAGAAAGCAGCCCUCCUCUUUCAUGGCCUCCCACAUCUUGAAACAAACACAAGCAAACAAAACAAAAGCUUGAGUCCCAGCCUGAUUCACCAGGUUUGGUUCCCAAUUGUUGAAAUUCCCUUCCCAGGGCUCUCAGAACCAGGGUUGGCUGGAGGGGUGAAAGAGGCUGGCCCUGAGCCCAGUAAUAGGACACCAAGGGGGAGCUAAAAGCUGGGAUCUGGGGUGAAGAUGGGGUCUUCCAAGCUGGGAGGCAGACACCAGGCCAGAGCAACCGGCCUGCCCCAGCUCAGGCCUCUUAACCCAUGCAGGGCAAGAGUAUAAACAGAGGCCACGGACCACAUGCCUCAGUAUUUAAACUUAUAAAUCAAGCUAACAUAACAUGAAAUCAAAUAUGUUCUAUCCUCCUAGCUUGACAAAUACUUUCAUAACGAGAUGGAAUGCCAGGUUCAGAUUUAGAAUUUUCACACUCCUUAAAGUUCCAAGUCAAAAUACAGCAUUAGGGGAGGGCCCCCAACCUCGAGGUCUCCCCUCCCCCAUUUUCUUUCACUCCCAGCUCUGUCUCACACCACGAGGGAUCUUGGGUGAAUGCCCCUCGAUACCCCAGCCCCCCACAAACAGCUGCCCUUUCCCCCCUUGGCCAAGGGUAAGCACAGCAGCAGGGCAGUCUGCCCUUGGCUGGAGAGAUGGAAGGAGAGGCCACACGGGCCCUGAAAAUGCAUUUGGGGACUCUUGGGCAGGAAACUUGGGAGUUUCUGGAGCCUCAAGGAGGGUCUAGUGGGACAGAGCCACUUGGGCCCAUGAGAUCCUUGACCCAUGGAGAAGGGUAGGGCUAGAGGAGGGCCAGGGCAGGCCCUAUGAACAGAAGAACCUAGAGUAACUGCCCUGUCCCCAGAUCCUGUCACCGAGCAGGUAUACUUGGGAGGGUAUUGGAGGGUGGAACCCAAGGGAGCUUGCCCAAGGCACUAGGAAAGAAAAGUGUAAACCUUGUUAGAGAAUGCUAAGGAUAGCUGUUAAAGCCUCAGAGAUUUUACUCAUUUUUGGCUGUUUCUAAAAAUCUUCCCCCAAAGGAAGAUCUUGCUCUCAUUGAGGAUCUGAGAAAGAAUUCUCUCCAAGUAGUUUCAAAACAUUCUGAUGUAAAAACUCUGGUGUGUUAGUCAAAAAUAAAUUUUGUUGCUUGAUGGCUUCACCAUUCACAAAAUAUUCUAUCCAUCCAAUUUAAAAAUAAGAGCAGGGUAUUUAAAACUCUUUCAAUAAACACAAAUUAAAACAAUGAAGCUUG